rnacentral:lncRNA from 1 species
GAAUGAGAGGUGACGCUCUGUCUUUCUCUCUGUUUCAAAGGUAUAUCACUCAAUUCUCACAGUAAACUGAUAAUGUAGCUACCAUUAUCAUUCCCAGUGAAAAACUGAGGCACGUGGAUUUUAACUUGUCUUAUAAUAAGAGAGAGAGAGAGAUUCUUCUUACAUUGAGGUGUGGAGGUGGUAGUUAAGGAGACAAGAGCACCAUUUAAGUCAAUCUCCCAACCUCACAAGCUUAUCUCAGGCUGGUUUGGCAGGUGUAUAACAUUGUAAUAUCCAUGCCGUCUUUGGGUAAUCGGUGAGAAGCAUAGGGGUAUUCUUAGAGGGCGAAGGAAAAGCUUUUGAAGGAGUUGCCCUACCUCAGACAGGUCACCGCUAGAGGACCAGGAGGAGGAAGUGGAGUGGGCUUCUCACCCUCUGCAUUAAGGGAUGUAGCAAAAACCAUGGAGCAAGGACACAGCAUCAGGAUGUUAUAAAUGAGAGAUCCUAUCACCUGCUAAUGCAACUUGAUGGUUUCUUGGGCUUUUUAUUUUAGUUUGAAGUGGCUGCACCUGGGGCAGUGUAAUGUUUCAAUUCUCCUACAUUUCUCUUAGUUUCUGCGUAGAAAUGCUAGAAGCAUGUCUGGUUGAUGGAAUUCCUCUAAUGUCAGAAUACGAGACAGAUGGAAGAUUAGAUUCAAGAAAAGAAAAAAAAAAAAGCCACGUCCAUGUUCUCAGGUCUCUGCAGAUUGAGCAAGUGCUGAAGCUGGUGCUCCUAGCUCCACCUUGAGCUUUGUGGAGCAAACUGAAGCCCAUUGUGAAUAAGUGGUUCUCUCAAGACCAAACAAGUUAAUGGAAAAACUGACACUAGAACCAAGAUUUCCUGAUAUUCACUAAAACAGGGAAGAAGAAAGAAAGAAAUUGAACUUUUUGGUUUAGAGAAGAUGAUAUCUUUUCUAAAAUGAAACCACAAAGAAUCCAAAUGGGAUAAAAAUGGAGAGUAAUACAAUAGUUAACUCUGUUGGGCUAGGUUCUAGGAGAAGAAGUUGUCAAGAUAGGAUAAAAUGUGCAAGAUAUUUCCUGGGAGAAAUACUUGUGGAAGAUAAAGAGGAGGAAGGAGAGAAGGAGAGGAGAGCCUUCAGCUCCCAGGGAGGUCAGACCUGUGAAGGAGAUGGGGCAGGAAGAACGAUUAGAUAGGAAGAAUCUCAGACU